CCAAGGAGUCUAACAUGUGCGCGAGUCACUCGGUCUUGUUUAGGCCAGAGAGGCGCAAUGAAAGUAAAGUUGAUUGAGUUACGAUCCCUAUGCGGUUACUCCUAGUGGGUAACGGUGGGGCGCAGUAACAGCCCGCUAAUUUCGCUUAUUGACGAUCUGGCGGAGUUGUAGCGUACACGUUGGUACCCGAAAGAUGGUGAACUAUGCCUGGGCAAGACGAAGCCAGAGGAAACUCUGGUGGAGGUCUGUAGCGAUUCUGACGUGCAAAUCGAUCGUCAGACCUGGGUAUAGGGGCGAAAGACUAAUCGAACCAUC
rnacentral:rRNA from 1 species